rnacentral:rRNA from 1 species
CCGGGCGAACGGGUGCGUAACACGUGAGCAACCUACCGAAAUGAGGGGGAUAGCCGUCCCAACGGACGGGUAAUACCGCAUAAGCUCUUGUCCAGGCAUUUGGAUUAGAGGAAACCUCCGGGGCGUUUCGAGGGGCUCGCGGCCUAUCAGCUAGUUGGUGAGGUAACGGCUCACCAAGGCGACGACGGGUAGCUGGUCUGAGAGGAUGGCCAGCCACAUUGGGACUGAGAUACGGCCCAG